rnacentral:rRNA from 1 species
CCUACGGGAGGCAGCAGUGGGGAAUAUUGGGCAAUGGGCGCAAGCCUGACCCAGCAACGCCGCGUGAAGGAAGAAGGCUCUCGGGUUGUAAACUCCUUUUCUCAGGGACGCAGCAAGUGACGGUACCUGAGGAAUAAGCCAUGGCUAACUACGUGCCAGCAGCCGCGGUAAUACGAAGGUGGGAAGUGGUACCCGGAUUUACUGGGUGUAAAGGGCGUGUAGGCGGGAAAGGAAGUCAGAUGUGAAAAUGAUGGGCUCAACCUGUGGCCUGCAGUUGAAACUGUGUGUCUUGAGUACUGGAGAGGCAGGCGGAAUUCGUGGUGUAGCGGUGAAAUGCAUAGAUAUUAGGAAGAACACCGAUGGCGAAGGCAGUCUACUGGACAGCAACUGACGCUGAGGCGCGAAAGCGUGGGGAGCGAACAGGAUUAGAUACCCCUGUAGUC